AGUGAACGCUGGCGGUAGGCCUAACACAUGCAAGUCGAACGGCAGCACAGUAAGAGCUUGCUCUUACGGGUGGCGAGUGGCGGACGGGUGAGGAAUACAUCGGAAUCUACUUUUUCGUGGGGGAUAACGUAGGGAAACUUACGCUAAUACCGCAUACGACCUACGGGUGAAAGCAGGGGAUCUUCGGACCUUGCGCGAUUGAAUGAGCCGGUGUCGGAUUAGCUAGUUGGCGGGGUAAAGGCCCACCAAGGCGACGAUCCGUAGCUGGUCUGAGAGGAUGGGCAGCCACACUGGAACUGAGACACGGUCCAGACUCCUACGGGAGGCAGCAGUGGGGAAUAUUGGACAAUGGGCGCAAGCCUGAUCCAGCCAUACCGCGUGGGUGAAGAAGGCCUUCGGGUUGUAAAGCCCUUUUGUUGGGAAAGAAAAGCAGCAGGUUAAUACCCCGCUGUUCUGACGGUACCCAAAGAAUAAGCACCGGCUAACUUCGUG
rnacentral:rRNA from 1 species